rnacentral:rRNA from 1 species
GACGAAGGGGGCUAGCGUUGUUCGGAAUUACUGGGCGUAAAGCGAGUGUAGGUGGUCAUCCAAGUUGGAUGUGAAAGCCUUGAGCUCAACUCAAGAAAUGCAUUCAGGACUGAAUGACUAGAGGACCGGAGAGGAUAGUGGAAUUCCCAAGUGUAGUGGUGAAAUACGUAGAGAUUGGGAAGAACACCAGUGGCGAAGGCGGCUAUCUGGACGGUUUCUGGAACACUAAGACUCGGAAAGCGUGGGGAGCAAACAGG